CUGGCUUUGAAGACAAACAGAAUAAAAACUUCAUGUUC
rfam:Equus caballus chromosome 5, whole genome shotgun sequence.